rnacentral:rRNA from 1 species
GUUAAGCGACUAAGCGUACACGGUGGAUGCCCUGGCAGUCAGAGGCGAUGAAGGACGUGCUAAUCUGCGAUAAGCGUCGGUGAGGUGAUAUGAACCGUUAUAACCGGCGAUUUCCGAAUGGGGAAACCCAGUGUGUUUCGACACACUAUCAUUAACUGAAUCCAUAGGUUAAUGAGGCGAACCGGGGGAACUGAAACAUCUAAGUACCCCGAGGAAAAGAAAUCAACCGAGAUUCCCCCAGUAGCGGCGAGCGAACGGGGAGGAGCCCAGAGCCUGAAUCAGUGUGUGUGUUAGUGGAAGCGUCUGGAAAGGCGUGCGAUACAGGGUGACAGCCCCGUACACAAAAAUGCACAUACUGUGAGCUCGAUGAGUAGGGCGGGACACGUGGUAUCCUGUCUGAAUAUGGGGGGACCAUCCUCCAAGGCUAAAUACUCCUGACUGACCGAUAGUGAACCAGUACCGUGAGGGAAAGGCGAAAAGAACCCCGGCGAGGGGAGUGAAAAAGAACCUGAAACCGUGUACGUACAAGCAGUGGGAGCCUCUUAAUGGGGUGACUGCGUACCUUUUGUAUAAUGGGUCAGCGACUUAUAUUCUGUAGCAAGGUUAACCGAAUAGGGGAGCCGAAGGGAAACCGAGUCUUAACUGGGCGUUAAGUUGCAGGGUAUAGACCCGAAACCCGGUGAUCUAGCCAUGGGCAGGUUGAAGGUUGGGUAACACUAACUGGAGGACCGAACCGACUAAUGUUGAAAAAUUAGCGGAUGACUUGUGGCUGGGGGUGAAAGGCCAAUCAAACCGGGAGAUAGCUGGUUCUCCCCGAAAGCUAUUUAGGUAGCGCCUCGUGAAUUCAUCUCCGGGGGUAGAGCACUGUUUCGGCAAGGGGGUCAUCCCGACUUACCAACCCGAUGCAAACUGCGAAUACCGGAGAAUGUUAUCACGGGAGACACACGGCGGGUGCUAACGUCCGUCGUGAAGAGGGAAACAACCCAGACCGCCAGCUAAGGUCCCAAAGUCAUGGUUAAGUGGGAAACGAUGUGGGAAGGCCCAGACAGCCAGGAUGUUGGCUUAGAAGCAGCCAUCAUUUAAAGAAAGCGUAAUAGCUCACUGGUCGAGUCGGCCUGCGCGGAAGAUGUAACGGGGCUAAACCAUGCACCGAAGCUGCGGCAGCGACGCUUAUGCGUUGUUGGGUAGGGGAGCGUUCUGUAAGCCUGUGAAGGUGUGCUGUGAGGCAUGCUGGAGGUAUCAGAAGUGCGAAUGCUGACAUAAGUAACGAUAAAGCGGGUGAAAAGCCCGCUCGCCGGAAGACCAAGGGUUCCUGUCCAACGUUAAUCGGGGCAGGGUGAGUCGACCCCUAAGGCGAGGCCGAAAGGCGUAGUCGAUGGGAAACAGGUUAAUAUUCCUGUACUUGGUGUUACUGCGAAGGGGGGACGGAGAAGGCUAUGUUGGCCGGGCGACGGUUGUCCCGGUUUAAGCGUGUAGGCUGGUUUUCCAGGCAAAUCCGGAAAACCAAGGCUGAGGCGUGAUGACGAGGCACUACGGUGCUGAAGCGACAAAUGCCCUGCUUCCAGGAAAAGCCUCUAAGCAUCAGGUAACAUCAAAUCGUACCCCAAACCGACACAGGUGGUCAGGUAGAGAAUACCAAGGCGCUUGAGAGAACUCGGGUGAAGGAACUAGGCAAAAUGGUGCCGUAACUUCGGGAGAAGGCACGCUGAUAUGUAGGUGAAGCGACUUGCUCGUGGAGCUGAAAUCAGUCGAAGAUACCAGCUGGCUGCAACUGUUUAUUAAAAACACAGCACUGUGCAAACACGAAAGUGGACGUAUACGGUGUGACGCCUGCCCGGUGCCGGAAGGUUAAUUGAUGGGGUUAGCGGUAACGCGAAGCUCUUGAUCGAAGCCCCGGUAAACGGCGGCCGUAACUAUAACGGUCCUAAGGUAGCGAAAUUCCUUGUCGGGUAAGUUCCGACCUGCACGAAUGGCGUAAUGAUGGCCAGGCUGUCUCCACCCGAGACUCAGUGAAAUUGAACUCGCUGUGAAGAUGCAGUGUACCCGCGGCAAGACGGAAAGACCCCGUGAACCUUUACUAUAGCUUGACACUGAACAUUGAGCCUUGAUGUGUAGGAUAGGUGGGAGGCUUUGAAGUGUGGACGCCAGUCUGCAUGGAGCCGACCUUGAAAUACCACCCUUUAAUGUUUGAUGUUCUAACGUUGGCCCGUAAUCCGGGUUGCGGACAGUGUCUGGUGGGUAGUUUGACUGGGGCGGUCUCCUCCUAAAGAGUAACGGAGGAGCACGAAGGUUGGCUAAUCCUGGUCGGACAUCAGGAGGUUAGUGCAAUGGCAUAAGCCAGCUUGACUGCGAGCGUGACGGCGCGAGCAGGUGCGAAAGCAGGUCAUAGUGAUCCGGUGGUUCUGAAUGGAAGGGCCAUCGCUCAACGGAUAAAAGGUACUCCGGGGAUAACAGGCUGAUACCGCCCAAGAGUUCAUAUCGACGGCGGUGUUUGGCACCUCGAUGUCGGCUCAUCACAUCCUGGGGCUGAAGUAGGUCCCAAGGGUAUGGCUGUUCGCCAUUUAAAGUGGUACGCGAGCUGGGUUUAGAACGUCGUGAGACAGUUCGGUCCCUAUCUGCCGUGGGCGCUGGAGAACUGAGGGGGGCUGCUCCUAGUACGAGAGGACCGGAGUGGACGCAUCACUGGUGUUCGGGUUGUCAUGCCAAUGGCACUGCCCGGUAGCUAAAUGCGGAAGAGAUAAGUGCUGAAAGCAUCUAAGCACGAAACUUGCCCCGAGAUGAGUUCUCCCUGAGACUUAGAGUCUCCUGAAGGAACGUUGAAGACGACGACGUUGAUAGGCCGGGUGUGUAAGCGCAGCGAUGCGUUGAGCUAACCGGUACUAAUGAACCGUGAGGCUUAACCUUACAACGCCGAAG